AUUAGCCCAUUUCUGGCUAUUAGUGUAUUCUCGUUCACUUUUGUGACAUUUAUAUUCGUGUACUAUCGUGUACGAAGUCAGUUCCCGUUUUAUCAUUAUUGGAAUCGAUUGGAAUGGCUCUUAGCUGAAGCUUCUGUCUUCUCUGAAGCUUAGAAAACAUUAUUCUGAAGACUGAACAACAAGGGAAGAGGUAUAAAGCUUUGUCAAGCUUAUUAAGGAGCAAUGGCUACUAUCCAGCUAUCCCAACAGUGCUCCUCUUGGCUAUACUAACGGACGAGACUGGACAGUUUGAGGACUGGAGUAUGACCUGCUCGUUCGAGCGUUACUGGGUAUCUCAGAGGCAUGAAGAGAAUCUACGUCUUCUCAAGCAAAAUUUAAUUGAGUCACGAGUUGGCUAGAAUCAGAGAAGUCCAGCAGCCUGCUAAAUCUUUUUGAAACGUAAUUUGAAGGCAUUCAAUCAUCCUGAAGUUGCCCUGGGUCACUGUAAUCGUGCUGCAGCACAACUGGCAACUGGCCUUUGUGAAGCAGCUCCCUAUGUGCACUUUUGUGCACUCACUCUGUGCAUUUUUCAUUUCAAAUAUUUUUGCCGACCACAAAUACAAUGAAAAUUUGACGCAUGCGCAGACAACUAGUACCAGGCCCAGUUGUUCGCCUAACCGUUAUAAAAGCGAAAACUCGGCCUGGGAUCGAGGCUACAUACAGAGCAACUCAAGCAGCCCCCACUUCAAACUCUGCUGAAAAAAACCACUCCCAACUCUGAUCGUUCAAGCAGACAGUAAAGAACUGGACAAACCUUAUUUUUACUGUCCUGUGCAUGCUGCGCGACAUUUAAUUUUUUGCCAUGCAUAUCAUUAAAUCCCUCAAGGCUUUGUGGUCAGUGCAGAAUAUGAGAUACAGUGCACAAUAUGCUGCAUAUAUUGCACAUAGCAACAGUAAAAAUUAUAGCAACGGGGUAUAAAGACUAUAAUUAUAUAUACGUCGGACUCACCGAU